ACCCACCAAGCACUCGAGUCGAUCCAAUUGAAAAUCGAGUCGACUCGACAGGCAUACCCGUUACAGUUUCAUGCUCUCAUGCUAACAAAGUCUAGAAUUUUGGAUCUAGAAUUUUGCAGAAAUUAAGUUUUAGAUCGUGUGUCAAACAAUAUAUCAAAUAUAAUAAUUUAAUGAUCUAAAAUACAUAAAAAUAUAUGCAUAAUCUGAUUUAAAUUAAAAAUAUAAUAAUUAUAAUUUUUUAUUCACUGUUCAUCUACAUAGAAAACAUCACAGUCGGUAUCCCUACACGUCAUAAGAGAGAACCCAU
rnacentral:lncRNA from 1 species